GUGUCAGCAGCCGCGGUAAUACGUAGGGUGCGAGCGUUAAUCGGAAUUACUGGGCGUAAAGCGUGCGCAGGCGGUUGGGCAAGACCGAUGUGAAAGCCCCGGGCUUAACCUGGGAAUGGCAUUGGUGACUGCUUGGCUAGAGUGUGUCAGAGGGGGGUAGAAUUCCACGUGUAGCAGUGAAAUGCGUAGAGAUGUGGAGGAAUACCGAUGGCGAAGGCAGCCCCCUGGGAUAACACUGACGCUCAUGCACGAAAGCGUGGGGAGCAAACAGGAUUAGAUACCCUGGUAGUCC
rnacentral:rRNA from 1 species